rnacentral:lncRNA from 1 species
GAAUGGAGAAGUUGGGUAACCUGCCCCAGGUGAAGCCCAAAUUGGAUCUCAGCGCCUGGGAGCUCCAACUUUAGCAAGUGCGAAAUCCUGUCUUCGGUUUUGGAAUUUUCAUCCGCACAGACUAUAUCAGCCACGGAUAGGAUAUGUGAGAAUACCAGCAUGUCAAGGCUGGGAAUCAUCCUUAGGCAUCACCUAGCCAGUCCUGCCUCUCAUUUUAAGGUGAUCACAGGAUCUGGUUUGCCACUGAAAGGAAUCUUGAUGCUGACCACUUCACCUCGGAGAGCAUGAACUGCUCCCAUGCCUUCAAGAGUUUUAGGAUGGCAUCAACUGUUCCAAAAACAUUGCUGAGCUGGACUUUGUAUUUCCCAGCAUGAGUCUUACGUUGGACAUUCUUCAUGACAAGAUGAGUAUAGUGCUCAGUGUUUUCAAUAGUAAUGUUUUCUGAGUUUUGCAAAAGUUUCUGACCAUGGAACCAAGUCAUGGCAGGUACUGGACGACCAAUGUACAUAACAUGAAGCCGAAGUGUGGAACCCACAGCUCCAUAAUAUUUCUCUUUCAGUGGGUAACCAGGAUGGAACUGCGGUGUUGCUUGCAGGAGAAGCUUACUACUGGUUUCUACUUCUCCAACCUCAUUGGUGGCUAUGCAGGCACUGUCUCCAGACUGUCUAUAUUCAACCCAGUAUCCAAGAAUUUCUUUACCACCAUCACAUUCAGGUUUCUCCCACUGUAGAGUGACACUAUCUUUGGAUAUUGAAAGAAUCUCAAGUUCUCCUGGUUGGCUUGGUUUAUCUGAAAUAUUUUAAAAUAAUGAAAAGGGAGUCAGCUUUACUGGUGAAAUAAAAGGACCAAACAUGGCUUGCUUCUUUAAUUUAACCCCUUCUUCUGAAUUCCUUACCAAAUGGAUCUUUGCAAACAACUGGUUCAGAAGCAGGGCUGGUCUCACUCAGGCCAACAUCAUUCUGUGCGAUGAUGCGGAACUGAUACUCAGCAUCGGGAACAAGCCCUGUGACAGUGUACAUUGUGGUGGUGAUCUGAGUCUUGUUGUGUCUGACCCACUUGUCAGUGGAUGUCUCUUUGCGUUCGAUGUAGUAGCCUGUGACUCUAGAACCACCAUCAUCUUUGGGCCGGGACCAGGACAAGCUAACAGAACUCUUGGUUACAUCGAGUACUUCUGGAGGAUUGCUUGGAGGUUCUGGAGGAUCUGUAAAUAUAAGUGGAAAGCACACAUGUAUUAGAAUACAGUCCCAAGUAUUAUAAGCCAAUGACUUUCAUUUAAAAACAGAAAAGUGCUGAAAUAAUGUUUAUAAUUUUGUGGUUGAAAGGGCACUUACUCAAUGGUGUUUUUGGUGUGACUGGUUCCUCAGAUUUCAAGGGUUUGCUUAUGCCAAACUGGUUUUCUGCUGAAACACGGAAAUGGUAUUCUACAUUCUCUUUGAGGCCUUUUACCACCAGAGAUGUACCUCGGACUCUGGAAUCAAUGGUAUACCAGGCGGCUUUAGGCACUUCUCGUCUCUCGAGGAUGUAGCCUAAGAUGUCAGCACCACCAUCAUCAGCAGGAGGUCUCCAGCUGACCCUCACAGAGCGGACUUGGAUGUCAUCAUAUUCCAGUGGCCCUUCUGGACUGUUGGGACUUCCUAUCACCCUGACCUUGAUGUAGACAGCCUUCUUGCCACAUUUAUUUUCCAGAACCAGGUCAUAAGUGCCAGAAUCACCCCUGUCUGCUUCUUUGAUCACAAGCUCAGUGUGUGUUUCAGAUGUUGCAAUCAUGGCACGCUUACUAAUAUCCUGGCCUUCCUUGGUCCAUUUACAUAUUGGGAAUGGUUUUCCUUUGAUUGGUAUGCAGGCUCACCAGGUCCACCAGCAUUACAAGCUAGGACGCGGAACCUGUAUUCUGCACCCUGAGAAUCAGAGGUGGGGAGAGUGGUGGAAGGGCCUGUGGACUUACGGAUGCUGCUGCGACACUCUAUGACCUCAGACUGCAAGUAAGAGCCAAUCCCGAAGCGGUUUGUUGCAGCCACACGGAACACAUACUCAUUUCCUUCGAUGCUGGAGGACCCGGUUUAUCUGAAGGAAUAAGGAAGAAGAGUGAAUAUGUGGAAUGGGGAAUGAGUAUAGAGUAGAGGUCUGGAGACCUGGGCUGCAGUCUUUCUAUUGUCAAUUUCCUAUAUGACCUAGGAGCAGUAAUGGUAUAGUCUCCUGAGUCCUUCCGGUUCACGCUGAAUAGCUCCAAGGUGCACAGAUUCCGCUGCAUGGCCAUCUUUAUGCCUUCUGCUGGUUUUAGCAGUGUGCCAUCUUUUUUCCAAGAAACUGUUGGCAUCGGUUUACCAAAAACAGUAGCAUCCAAGCAGACAUUAGUUCCAGCUUUCACAGUGUAUAUUUAGUUUUUUAUUAGGAAAAAUGACCAUCAUGAAUGCUGUUACAUCUUUGCCUAUAAUACUCAGCAGAAUCUUACCAUUUUCUGCGAGGAUAGUCACUGGAUCAGAAGGUUCAGAAGGUGGGCUAAUGUUUACCGCGGUCCUGGCAAUAGCUCUAAAUUGAUACUGAGCUUUCUCUUCUAGGCCAGUAGCUGUGUACUCUUCCUGGGGAAUCUGGUGAGGUGCAGUAUUGCACCGUACCCAUUUAUCACCAGGAAGUUUGCAAGCUUCUACGAAAUAGCCAAUAAUUUUACUGCCUCCAUCAUGCUUUGGACGAGCCCAGAUCAGAGAUACAGUACUCUUGGUGACAUCAAUAACCUCAGGUUUCCCAGGAGGAUCUAAAACAAAAAGAGGAACACCUGGAGAUGAAGACAAGGAAGAUGUCAGUUUCUACAUUAAGUAACAAACUAGAAAGAAAACAACUUUUUUUCUCCUUCACAAAAACAUACCAAAUGGGAACUGCGCAACCAUCUUUGGAGAUGUGAGAGGCUCUGAAAUGCCAAAUCGGUUUUCAGCACGGACCCGGAAGAUGUACUCCUGGCCUGGGAUCAGCUUUCCAACCCUGCAGGAAGUUUUUGUGACUGAAGCUAGAGCCGUGACCCAGUCACCUCGGCUUACAUCACACUUCUCCACUAUAUAAUUGGUGAUGUUACUGCCUCCGUCCUCCAGAGGGAUGUGCCAUGACAGGGAGCAAGCAUCAGCGUCUAUAUCAGAAAUGUCAAAUGGAGGCUGAGGGGGGCCGGGGGCAUCUACAUGAACCAAGAGGAAAGAAAUGUGGCUGCCAUGAGAUAGUCAUGUGUUCAGGAGUAACAUCCAGAAUAUUAAUAGGACCUGUUGGUGGCCCAGGAACAUCAAGAACAGUAAGAUGUACGGCUACUGUUUUGCUACCGGCUGCAUUGGAAACUGUGAUUUGAUAUUCCCCAGUGUCUCUCCUUAAGCAGUUCUUAAUGAGAAUAGACGCCUUGAUGGCUCCUCUGGCAGUUCUUGAUGACCAUGGAUGAGCUAAUGGCUGUGGUCUCAAUGGUGGCUUCUUGAGUUACUUUGGAUCCACCAUCUUUUAGUGGGGGAGACCACUCCAGAUCUGCAGAUGAUUUAGUCCAAUCUGUCACUUUGGGAAAUGGAGGACCAGGAGGGGCUGCAAAGAGCCAGUAUACAUUAUUUACAGCUGUGAUGGUAUAUAAGCCAGUGUCACUCCUGCGAGACUGCGGAAUAACUAAAGUGCAAGUAUCAUCUACCACCAGUUUGUUGACAUGGGUGUCAUAGAGAACAGGUUCUUUGUUAUCAGGCUUCUUUGGAGGAGCUUUAAACCAGAGAAAUAAAAACUUGAUUGUGAAGAUAAAUGGGUCUCAGCAGUUGCUAAGAAAAUGACUGGUUACUUUCUGUCCCUUUUGAGGAGCAUGCAGAGAAAUUGCUUUAGCCUCUGAUAAAUAAAACAGACUGCGAGGAAAAUUACAGCGAGGAAAUUACAGACAUCAUCUCCUUUGAACAGGGAAAAGGUAACAGUGUUGGUGACUUCCUCCCAUUCUGCUUUCUUCCUACUUGCAUCACGUUUGUCAAUAACAUAAUGGGUGAUUUCACUGCCACCAUUAUCAAGAGGGGCAUCCCAUGUCAAGUAGCAAGAUUCAGCUUUAAUGUCAGUAACAGCAAGAUUUCUUGGUGGGGAUGGGCGGUCUGGAAAGGAAUCAACAGAGAAUAUUGAGAAGGCAAUUCUUAAACAGACACUGGAUGCCUUUUUGAUGUAAGAAAGCAAGUCACUUACCAUAUACUUCAACGUGAACAUUUCGGAACACUGAGCCAAGGCGAUUGGAAGCAGUAACUGUGUAAGUGCCUUUGUCCUCCCGGACCGCUUUGGGAAUGCUAAGCUCAGUUUUUGCCUCACUUCGGGAUACCUCUUCCUUGGUUAUCUGAAGUGCAUCAGUGGGUUUUUCAAUUACAGUUUCAUUUUUGGACCAUUCAAUCUUAGGCAUUGGAAGGCCUGUCACAUCUGCAGGGAUGUGGACAGGCUCUCCUGCCUUAACUUUGAUAGUGUCUCCUCGAACACUCAGACGCAACUUAAUAGUUGGAGGCACUGCAAAGAGAAGAGAAAGAAAAACAGUAACAAAGUCAUAAGGAUGUUUUUUUCAACUUAUGGGAUAAAGGCACACUGUAAAAUGCAUUAAAAUUAUUAUUAUAUUCAGAAAAAAAAAAAAAAAA